CCGUUAGCGGCCGCGAGGGGCGGGCCCGGGCUGUUGGGGCGCCCUGAGGGGCGAGGCCUAGCUGUUGGCGUGUCUUGAGGGUUAUUGGUUCCUCCUAGCGGGAGGAGCCUGGACGUUGGCGCGUCCUGAAGGACGAGGCCCGGCCUUUGGUUGAGCCGGGUAUGGUGGCACGCGCCUGUAACUCCAGUAUAUAGGAGGCUGAAGCAGAAUUGCCACGAUUUCGAGACCAAUCUGAGCCACUUAAUGAGUUCAAGACUAUCUUGGCAAAUAAAUUAACAAACAAAUAAAGGUUUUCUUCCAUUA